GCCGGGUGUGGUGGCGUGCGCCUGUAAUCCCAGCUACUCGGGAGGCUGAGGCAGGAGAAUUGCUUGAGCCCAGGAAACAGAGGUUGCAGUGAGCCUAGAUUGUGCCAUUGUACUCUAGCCUGGGCAACAGAGUGAGACUCUGUCUCAA
rnacentral:SRP_RNA from 1 species